GUGGGCUUAGACCGUUACAAAUGGUAUCAGAGCCAGACACCGGGCGAUGUGCCAGCGAGGAGGUUGAGCCCUAAAGAGGGGUUGACACGAGGCUGUGUGCUACCUCUCCCUCGGGUGGGAGAGUCCUUCUCGAAAAGUUAAAACCAGAAAAUGAAAGCCAAUCCAUAAACAUGUAAAGUUUAUACAUUUGCAUAGGCAGAGAUCAAAGUGUGAAGUGUACAUAUAACCCAUUUGUAGAGGGAAAAAAGAAAGAAAGACAAAGAACUCAUUUGUAAUGCACAAACCAACAACAAACAAAGAAUGGUCAGAAGUUUCUUUGAAUCAUGUCUUCAACUAAUGUCCUGGUCCUCUUUUGCUCGGUCCAGAAGUAUGCUUGAAUGCCCAUCUUCCCUUCCGACCACCACCAAACCUAACGAACUCAGUCGUGUUACCUUUCCCGACAUGCUCCCGGCCAGUUCCCAUCACAGCCCGAGUAUCUCCCAUCGAUGUGAGCACCCUGCAAUCCACAUGAACAAACACCAUUGCCAACAGUAUCAUCACAGCCAAAACUCCAACACAACAACGCUUCAUCCUUCCUUGUGAAUCUUCCAAAUAUGUUCAUACAUUUAAACUACCAAAUUCUUUGACUCUGCCUUUCAUUUCCCACUGAGAGAACAUUGACUUGUCCAAACACAAGGCCAGUUGUUCAUACGUGAAGAAAAAGUCAGAAAAAGGGAGAAAGUUGUUUAGCAGGGCCACCGCCAUAAGAUCUGACGCAAAAAUUAGACACUUUUAUGAAUCACAUACAGCUUCCAUCCAUCGGCACGCGGGUUGUAUCUUUUUGUGAUAUAUAAUUUAUAAUUGUUGAAGAAGUUCUUCUGGUGUGAAAUUUCAUCAUCCUUUUGGGCGUCAUAGUUGAUGCAAGGAAGUUUCGUUUAAAGAGAAUUGAUUAUGAUUAUGUAUGCAUCUGGAAAUAACAUGCAGAUAUCAUAAAGUGAGUGAUGAGAAUAAAGGGGAAGCGUUGUAGAUAUU